rnacentral:rRNA from 1 species
CUACGGGAGGCAGCAGNGGGGAAUUUUGGACAAUGGGCGAAAGCCUGAUCCAGCCAUGCCGCGUGAGUGAAGAAGGCCUUCGGGUUGUAAAGCUCUUUNNGUCGGAAAGAAAGAGNANCGAAUNAAUAAUUGUGAUUUAUGACGGNNCCGCCCAGAAAAAGCACCG